UCUGAGAAAACAUAUUUACCCUGCCCUCUG
rnacentral:piRNA from 1 species